UGGAAGGGGAGACUCAGGGCUCUGUCAACAAGGAAGCGAGAAUGAUCUCAGAUGAAUAAAGUGAGGCACAGCAUGAAUGAACUACCUGUACAAGAACACAGAGCUAUCCCAAGGUUCUGAAGAGAAGUGGUAAGUUCAGUGCAGUUUUCUACUGAGGUCUGGAUACCGAACUUUCAG